UACGGAGGGUGCAAGCGUUAUCCGGAUUCACUGGGUUUAAAGGGUGCGUAGGUGGGAAUGUAAGUCAGUGGUGAAAUCUCCGUGCUUAACAUGGAAACUGCCAUUGAUACUAUGUUUCUUGAAUUUUCUGGAGGUAAGCGGAAUAUGUCAUGUAGCGGUGAAAUGCUUAGAUAUGACAUAGAACACCCAUUGCGAAGGCAGCUCGCUACACUAUUAUUGACGCUGAGGCACGAAAGCGUGGGGAUCAAACAGG
rnacentral:rRNA from 1 species